rnacentral:rRNA from 1 species
AGUAGUUGUAGUCCUGGCGUCAGGACGAACGACUGGCGGCGCGCCUAACACAUGCAAGUCAACGGGACUAUACUGGAAGAAGUUUUCGGAUUGGAUUUCGGUAUAGUUUAGUGGCGGACGGGUGAGUAACACGUGAGCAACCUGCCUUCGAGAGGGGAAUAACGGCUGGAAACGGUCGCUAAUACCGCAUAACAUACUGGAGGACAUCCUGCUGGUAUCAAAGAUUUAUCGCUCGAAGAUGGGCUCGCGUCCGAUUAGGUAGUUGGUGAGGUAACGGCUCACCAAGCCGACGAUCGGUAGCCGGACUGAGAGGUUGAACGGCCACAUUGGGACUGAGACACGGCCCAGACUCCUACGGGAGGCAGCAGUGGGGGAUAUUGCACAAUGGGGGAAACCCUGAUGCAGCGACGCCGCGUGUGGGAAGACGGUCCUCUGGAUUGUAAACCACUGUCCCCAGGGACGAAAAUGACGAUACCUGGGGAGGAAGCUCCGGCUAACUACGUG